UACUUUAGAGUUGUAAACCUUUUGCCUGUCAAAGUUAUUUAUUCAAUUUUAUUAUUAUUUUAAUUAAUAUUUCUAUUAAUUUUUAGGCUGACCUCAAAUGGACUUUGCUUAUAAUUUAAAAAUGUUCCCUUAAUCUAAAUUGACACUUUCUGACUGUGUGUGAUUGCAAAAACUGAUACCUCAGUAACAAGUGGUAAACUUUUACAAAAUAUGAUUUCAGAUGUUAUAAUAGCGAUUUUAUUAUGUCCAAAUAAAAGUACCACAGCAAAACUUAGGCUAGUGGGUAGAAUGAGCCAAUAAGUGAUUCUCUGCUGCCAUCUUCUGAAAUCAGUGAGUGAAACUGUAUUAUUAAUAACUGUAACAAUAUAUAUAUAUAUAUAUAUAUGUGUGUGUGUGUGUGUGUGUGUGUGUGUGUAUGCAUGCACCUUUGUUCUGCAGUGAGGGGCUACUGCAUUUUUGUGACAAAUCAGGACAUAGAUGUGUAUAAUGACAAGGGUAUGACAGGUAUUACAAGGAGAAGGUGACUUUUCAGGACAUUACCCCAUGUCCCCACUUUUCAAAACGCUUAUAAAACACACAGAAUGGAGUGUAUUGAAAAUCUGAAAUAGCAGAAAGUUUCCUGUAAGGGGUAGGUUUAGGUGUAGGGUUGGUGUAGGACAAUAGCACAUACAGUUUGUACAGUAUAAAAACCAUUACGCCUAUGGGAUGUCCCCACUUUUCACAAAAACAAACAUGCGUGUGUGUGUGUGUGUGUGUAAUUUAUUUCAUUUUAUUUAAUUUAAUUUUUUUUUGCCAGGAAAAAUAUAACAUGAGGUAAUGAUUUAAAUGUAGCCUACAUCUUAGAUUAUUUAAAACAAAAACAAAAAAAAGCCCGCGAAAAGAACCGGAGGUUAUAUAAGCUGCGGUCGUCACAUCACGCGCACAGCCGGACUCUGAGUGGACAUCGCCUGACGGGAGAGCUUUCACCAGAUUGUCAUCCGAUUGUUCUGCUGCACCCCAAAGCCUCCACACCACAGCACAGCUCAGCACAGCACAGAACAGUCUUUGGCUUUUGUGCUGGAUGGAGAAACUGAGAAGUUUAUAAACAGAAGGCAUGGAAGAAGAGAGCAGGUCCUACAACAAAGAAAUUCUUCUUAAGGUAUAUGCUCCAAAUUAACCAUUUACCAUUGAGUUCACUGAGAUCUGACUAACUAUGUGUCUAUAUGUGUCCCCUCUUUAUCUCUCUUUCCUUUUUUCUGUCCUCUUUUAGGAUAAACCUGAGGUCCUGGGAGUUCUUAGAGGUUCUAAAGUGUUUUUUUAUGCAUUUGUUGAUGUCAAACUUUCAAUAAUAAAUUCAAAUAAAUUCUCAUAGUUUUUACAUUUAUAUGGUGUCAUUCCAACUGGGGGGUAUUGAAGGGGGAACUGCACGUGUGUGUGUGUGUGUGUGUGUGUGUGUGAUAUUUGUGGAAACAACAUUGUUAAAAAAAAUACUGGCUUUAAUAAUACAUUUUUUGUAGUUUUUAGAGAACCAAUUAAUUACAUUAACAGUUUUUUUCCAUGUAGACUAUAUAUAUAUAUAAUAUUGUUUUGGUAAAUUUUGUUGUUGUUGUUGUAGGCUUUUCCUUAUUUUUAUAUUUUAGACGGUGAUGAAAAAUGACUCGCCAUCUCCUCAUUGUACGUGCCUUUAGAGAGAAAUGCAUCUUUACGGAUUACAUAAUGAAAGAGUUUUUGUUUUCGAUUUGAAUUAUUUCGUUUUAAAGUAGUAAUUUAAAGCUUUCUAUAGAUAUAUUUAUCAUAUUUGUGACUCAGUUCGUUGAGUUUCGGUUCAUCAUUGUGAAGCGCUCCUAUUCAAGACUAGACGGCAAGCACAUUUAAUUCCAUACGAAAUGCGUAUUUGUCAUCCAUUUCUACUUCAAUAGAAACAUGUAUUUUAGAUUUUUAUUCAAAUAUGGCAACAAUCACAUAUCUUACCCAGAGAUCGCACUGUCAUGGUGUUUGGAAAUAUUCAUGCAUAAUUUAGAUACAUAAUCGCAUGAAAUCAGAUUUAAAAAAUAAAACAUUUGAGAAGAGAACGCAGCAUCACAGUUGUCUGAACCAAUGAGCAUUAAGCUGUGUCGUCAGUCAGUCGUUUCCCAUCAUGCUUUUGAUCAGCGCAGUCGGUGGAGAGCAAAUUUUGAAUCUGUUACUAUAGCUACAGAGGAAGGAGAUACAUAUCACUUAUGAACGGUUUGAAUUUGGAUCUGUUCCUCACACAAAGCAUCACAUGGAUACCGAAGAUUUGAAUAAAAAUUAAAUACUUUUAUGAUCUUGAGUUAA